GGGCAGGAGACCUCAGUGUUGGGGGGCUAGCUAAGGGCCCUGGGAUUACGCUGCCAACAGCAGAGUCCCCACGGUGUCCUGGGAGGCAGUGGGCUUAGCUACGGGGGGGACUUCCUUCCGCCUAGUGCCCCGCUCUCCUCUGCGGGGUCUGAGAUGGGGCGUCCUACGGCAGCAUUGAGUGUGACUUGGGAGCCAGAGCAUGUGAAGUGAGGCUGUGAAGCAGAGGGCAGCUCCAACUGGUGGAGUCCUGUUCACACUCCAGUUUCUCCAGAAACGACUCUGACUGACUCUCCCUGGCCAGAACACCCAUGGCGGAUCAGUCUGGACCUAACAUCUCUCCAUGCAUUCGGUCUCGAGUCCUCUUUAUGGGGUCAGCUUUGUUUUCCCCCAAGAGUGGGAAUAAGGCCAUACACUCUGAUGGGGAAGGCAGACAAGAAAGAAACAGAUACACACAGAGCAGAUUUCAGCAGCCCCUGCUGGCUCCUGGAGUCUGAAAAUAACCUAGGGUGGCAUAUUCGUCCCCCACGUGAGGAUCGCGGCAAGAGGGACUGGACUGUUUGACAGCAGUAGGCCCAGUAUCAAGUCUGGAACCAGCAAGACACAAUACGUGAGGUUUCCUUCCAUCUUGACAUGGGGAGCAUCUCUCUCAUGAUGCAGACCUCUGCAUGCCCACGGAGCCAUGGUCAUUUCAUGCGCAAUGGAUCGCUCCAGCCGCGGCGUAUUUUGGGCAGAGAUUACUUCAGAAAGGGUGUCCAUCUUCCUUCAUCCUGGGGGCUUCUGUGUCAUCACCAGAGUGGAGGGAGACACCAGCUCUUGUUUACUCCCUGAAAUGUG
rnacentral:lncRNA from 1 species